rnacentral:ncRNA from 1 species
CCAUUUUUGCUACUUGGUGGUUAAGAGGCAUCCGAAAGGUUUAGCCUAGUGGGAGUUGAGGCUUGCAACACUGUCAAAUUGCGGGGACGUCCUAAAGCUUUUGCGACCAAGCACUGGUGGAAACAUUAGUGUGGCCGAGUUAAUAGCCCUGGGUAUGGUAAAACUGCAAAAGAUGUUACAAUGGAUAAUCCGCAGCCAAGUCCUAAGGUCUCCUUAAUUGGAGUCUAUGGAUGCAGUUCACAGACUAAAUGGCAGUGGGUGUGUAUUGAGUUGGGAGUAACCUGGCUCUACAUGCUUAAGAUAUAGUCGGUCCUGCCGUGAAAACGGACU